rnacentral:tRNA from 2 species
GCGGGAGUGGCGUAGUGGUAACGCGAGAGCCUUCCAAGCUCAAGUCGCGGGUUCGAUUCCCGCCUCCCGUACCA